AGUGAACGCUGGCGGUAGGCCUAACACAUGCAAGUCGAACGGCAGCACAGUAAGAGCUUGCUCUUACGGGUGGCGAGUGGCGGACGGGUGAGGAAUACAUCGGAAUCUACUUUUUCGUGGGGGAUAACGUAGGGAAACUUACGCUAAUACCGCAUACGACCUACGGGUGAAAGCAGGGGAUCUUCGGACCUUGCGCGAUUGAAUGAGCCGAUGUCGGAUUAGCUAGUUGGCGGGGUAAAGGCCCACCAAGGCGACGAUCCGUAGCUGGUCUGAGAGGAUGAUCAGCCACACUGGAACUGAGACACGGUCCAGGCUCCUACGGGAGGCAGCAGUGGGGAAUAUUGGGCAAUGGGCGCAAGCCUGGUCCAGCCAUACCGCGUGGGUGAAGAAGGCCUUCGGGUUGUAAAGCCCUUUUGUUGGGAAAGAAAAGCAGCAGGUUAAUACCCCGCUGUUCUGACGGUACCCAAAGAAUAAGCACCGGCUAACUUCGUG
rnacentral:rRNA from 1 species